GAUGAACGCUGACAGAAUGCUUAACACAUGCAAGUCAACUGUGUCGGACGGGUGAGUAACGCGUACAGAACUUGCCUCACAGAUAGGGCCCACAUUUGGAAACGAAUGCUAAUACCUGAUACUGUGAGAGAGCUUUGCGUCCCAUUAGCUAGUUGGAGAGGUAACGGCUCACCAAGGGGAUGAUGGGUAGCCGGCCUGAGAGGUUGAUCGGCCACAAGGGGAAUGAGACACGGACCUUACUCCUAUGGGAGGCAGCAGUGGGUAAUAUUGGACGAUGGAACAAAGUCUGAUCCAGCAAUUCUGUGUGCACGAUGAAGUUUUCGGAAUGUAAAGUGCUUUCAGUUGGGAAGCGGUACCCACAGGAGAAGUGACGGCUAAAUACGUGCCAGCAGCCGCGGUAAUUC
rnacentral:rRNA from 1 species